rnacentral:lncRNA from 1 species
UCCAAUUGUUUUUUUUUUAUUUUCAAUUCAAAUUCAUAAAAUGGAGGGAAGUCAGUCUGAAUCCAUUUCUGUUAAAUUCAAUGGGACCAACUUUGCUCUUUGGGAAUUUCAAUUUCGAAUCUUUGUUGAAGGGAAAGGAUACUCUGGUAUUCUUGAUGGAUCUCAAAAGGAAGAAGGUACCACAGAAGCCAAGCUACAAAGGAAAACAAAAAAGGCUCAGGUUAUCACUUGGAUUCUAAAUUCUGUGGAACCUAAAAUCACACUCAGUCUCCGAUCAUUCAAAACUGUAGCAACAAUGUGGAAACAUCUUCAAGGAACUUAUUCUCAAGUGGAUCAAUCAAGGCAAUUUCAACUUGAAUAUGAAAUUGCUAAUAUCAACCAAGAGGAUAGAGAUAUUCGUGGCUUUUAUAUUGAAAUUUUAAAGCUAUGGACAGAACACGAUAUGAUAUCUUCUUGUGUUAUUUCUGAUAUUGCAUAUUCAGAAAUUAAGGCGGAACGCGAUCAUGCACGAGUGAUGCAAUUCCUCAUGAAACUUCGACCAGAAUUUGAGAAUGUCAGGGCUACGCUAAUUAAUCGAGGAAAUUUGAGUAUGGAGUCUGCUCUUGGAGAUCUUAUUCAUGAAGAAACAAGGCUGAAUACUCAGAUUCAGCUAGACAACAAAACCAACUCAGUAGAUGCAGUCUUUAUGGCUUCAUGUGGUAAGUGUUACUCAAAACAAAAGACUACAGGGAAAGCAGGUACUCAAUGUCGAUAUUUUGGUAAACUGGGACAUGUGCAGUCUCAUUGCCAUAAGCGCAAUAUAUGCAACUAUUGCAAAAAGCCAGGACACAUUAUCUUGGAUUGUCACAUAUUGAAAAAUAAGAAUGGUCAUUCAGCAUUUAUUACAACGAGUAAUGAUGGAGACAGUGCCAACAAUAAAGAAACUCUAUUUUCAUCAGACACAAUUCAAAAGAUGAUUCAAGAUUCAGUGCAAGCAGCUCUUCCAGGUGCUCUUUCCUCUGCCUUCUCUGUUGCUGGGUUAUCAGGUAAAGGAAUUAAAUCUGUGUCUUGGUUCUUUGACUCUGCUGCCUUUAAUCAUAUGUCUGGUCAAAAACAUAUUUUUUCUCAACUCAAGCCUUGUUCUUCGAAUGAUUCAAUUACCACAGCCAAUGGACGAAAAUUACCUAUAAAAGGAAUUGGCACAAUUUGUUUAUCCAUUGAGUCUAAGAAAUCCAUUUGUUUACCUAAUACUCUUUAUGUCCCACGUUUAAUAGCCAACCUUAUUUCUAUUGGACAAUUAACUGACCAAAAUUGUGUGGUAAAAUUCUCCCCUGUUGGUUGUGAUGUGCAGGACCUUCAAAUGGGACAAGUGAUCAUGAAGGGGCAUAAACGUGGACGUUUAUUUCAUCUAGUUUCAGAUGGUACACCAAAUUAUCCUCUAGGUCUUUCAGCCUUGUUGUCUGCAUCUGUCAAUAACACAUGGGAUCUAUGGCAUCGUCGCCUUGGUCAUCCGCAUACUACCCGAUUAGAAUUUAUGUUCAAAUCCAAUUUUCUUCCAGAAAAAUUGCAUGUUAAGUCUGAUAUUUCUCAGAAUUGUCAAAGUUGUGCCCUUGGAAAAUUUGCUAAAUUACCAUUUCUUUUUAGUACUACAAAAGUUGAUGCACCCUUUCAUCUAAUACACUGUGAUCUAUGGGGUCCUUCCCCUGUUCUAUCUAGACUUGGUUAUAAAUAUUUUGUUUUGUUCAUUGAUCACUUUACUCGAUUUACUUGGGUGUAUUUUUUACGUUCUAAAUCUGAUCUAGCAAAUAUAGCCAAAACUUUUGUUACUAUGAUUGAGACACAAUUUGGCAAAAUAAACAAAAUAUUUCGUUCAGAUUCUGGUGGAGAAUUCUGUGCUUCGAAUCUUAUAAAUUUUUUUCAAGAGAAAGGCAUUUUAACUCAAUAUUCUUGUCCUGGAACACCGGAGCAAAAUGGUGUUGUGGAACGAAAGAAUCGCCAUGUUUUGAAAAUUGCAAGAACACUUUUACUUGAAUCAUCUAUUCCAUCUAAAUUCUAUGUUGAAGCUAUACAUACAGCUAUCUAUCUCAUAAAUCGACAACCUUCUCCUAUAAUUGGUAAUCAAUCUCCAUAUUAUGCUCUUUACAAUAGAUUACCUGAUUAUACCCAUCUUCGUGUUUUUGGUUGUAUUUGUUUCGUUUUGCUUCCUCCUCAUGAAAUAACUAAGUUAUUUGCUAAAUCUGCUAAAUGUGUAUUUAUUGGUUAUAGUGAUAAACACAAGGGGUAUAUUUGUUAUGAUCCAUUGAGUCAUCGCAUACGUGUGUCUCGUCAUGUUACUUUCUUUGAAAAUAUAUAUUUUUAUUCUUUCUCUACUCAUCCAAAUGUUACUCAAUCUUCCGUUUCCUUUUUACAUGAUUUUGAUUCUCCUAAUACUCUUACCCUUAAUGUUGAUGAGAUAACGUUCACUUUGCCA